rnacentral:rRNA from 1 species
UACGUAGGUGACAAGCGUUGUCCGGAUUUACUGGGCGUAAAGAGCGCGCAGGCGGUCGUUCAAGUCGAGUGUGAAAGCCCCCGGCUCAACUGGGGAGGGUCACUCGAUACUGAUCGACUCGAAGGCAGGAGAGGGAAGUGGAAUUCCCGGUGUAGUGGUGAAAUGCGUAGAUAUCGUAAGGAAGACCAGUGGCGAAGGCGGGUCUCUGGACAGUUCCUGACGCUGAGGCACGAAGGCCAGGGGAGCAAACGGG